GUGAGGAAUUUUCCGCAAUGGGCGAAAGCCUGACGGAGCAAUGCCGCGUGAAGGAUGAAGGCCUAUGGGUUGUAAACUUCUUUUCUCAGAAAAGAAUUAUGACGGUAUCUGAGGAAUAAGCAUCGGCUAACUCUGUGCCAGCAGCCGCGGUAAGACAGAGGAUGCAAGCGUUAUCCGGAAUGAUUGGGCGUAAAGCGUCUGUAGGUUGUUUAAAAAGUAUUCUGUCAAAGAUUAGGGCUUAACCCUAGAUAGGCAGAAUAAACUUUUAAGCUAAGGUUUGGUAGAGGCAGGGGGAAUUCCCGGUGGAUCGGUGAAAUGCGUAGAUAUCGGGAGGAACACCAAAGGCGAAGGCACUCUGCUGGGCCAAUACUAACACUGAGAGACGAAAGCGAGGGGAGCAAAUGGGAUUAGAUACCCCUGUAGUCC
rnacentral:rRNA from 1 species